GUCCCACUUCCGGACUACACGUGCUUCAAACCCUGUUUACUUCAGCACGCCAGAAGGGGGAGCUGGUCCCUCCUGCCUGCUGUCUGGAACGGCGGCAGGCUUAUGGAUGGUUGAGCAGCUGCGCUAUCUCCAGCCGUGAGGGUGGCCCCACAGCGAAGACACCUUGACCGCUGGCGUUGUGAGCACUCUGAUCGCGGCUGUCAUCGAUGGGACGCACGCAUAUGAGGGGCAUUAUCUGUGUAAAUACAUCGCCACCACAAAUAAACACCAGGAUUUCCAGAUUUCUGCCUCAUUUGUGUUUGGGGUUGAAUAUUUCCAGGGAGAUGUUUAAAGACACCCUCAACAACACCAGUCAACUGACAUUGUGCCCUUUCAGACACCUCGGUUUCGUAUCUACCUAAGACUGGAACCAUCGGAUCGGAACGCUUUCUUCUGCCAAUUACCACUUGUCACACUAUAUAUUUGUCAGUUAUUCUCAAUUGGACCUCAUUUGGCUGCUCUGCUUAGCAUAAUGCAGAGUCCUCACCUGGCCUCACAGCAGUAUAGGCUACUCAAUAAAACCUUAAAGUAUGUGAAGAAAAACACCUGGUAUUAGUGGAAUAUUCUUUGGGGAAAAGGUUGAAGUUUAUUUUAGUUUUAUCAAAUUGUUGAUGUUAUGAUAUA